rnacentral:rRNA from 1 species
GACGAACGCUGGCGGCGUGCCUAAUACAUGCAAGUUGAGCGCACAGGGUAGGUACUUGUUCCAACGGGGUGAGCAGCGAACGGGUGAGUAACGCGUGGGGAAUCUGCCUUUGAGCGGGGGACAACAUUUGGAAACGAAUGCUAAUACCGCAUAAAAACUUUAAACACAAGUUUUAAGUUUGAAAGAUGCAAUUGCAUCACUCAAAGAUGAUCUCGCGUUGUAUUAGCUAGUUGGUGAGGUAAAGGCUCAACAAGGCGAAGAUACAUAACCGACCUGAGAGGGGGGAUGGGCCACAUUGGAAUGGGACACGGCCCCAGACUCCUACGGGAGGCAGAGGAGGGGAUUCUUCGGAAAUGGGCGAAGGCUUGACGGAGAAAGGCGGGGUGGGGGAUGAAGGUCUCGGAUCGGUAAAACUCGUUUGUAAGGAAGAAAGUAGUGGGGAGUGAAAAACUCACGACGUGACGGUAACUACUCAGAAAGCCACGGCUAACUACGUG